AUCCUGACGCCUAGCUUGGGUGUAUGUGGACAUUGGAUCACCGGGACAAGUCUGAGAGGAUGGGGCCUCUGUUAUACGUAAAGAAGAUAUUGGUUUCAAUCCACCAAUUACCUUUUUAAAGAAAACGUAUUUGUCUGUUUAGGAUUUUUAUUCGAGGUAGAUGUACCAACUGAUGUUUGAAGUCACAAGGUCAAAGGUCAGACUGGACAAAUGGAUGUGAAUACGUGCGGUGUUUUUAUUUUGUAUGGUGGUAGUUGAUACGGGUAUUGCGAUCUCGGGAACACCACAUGAACCAUGCAUUAAUGACUAAGUAUGUAAAUUAUGUAUUUCAAAGACGGUGAUAGUGAUACAAAAUUAUGGAUGUUAAAUAGAAACAUUUUACGUUGAUUUACUUUCCUGUAUACCGUUGGAAUUGGUAAAUGAUUACAUUUCACGUUGAUUCACUUUCCUGUAUGCUGUUGUAAUUGGUAAAUGAUUACAUUUCACGUUGAUUCACUUUCCUGUAUGCUGUUGUAAUUGGUAAAU